AAUACAUGCAAGUCGCACGAGAAAGUCUUCGGAUGAGUAGAGUGGCGCACGGGUGAGUAACACGUAGGUGACCUGCCCCUUUGAAUGGAAUAACUCAGAGAAAUUUGGGCUAAUACCAUAUAAGCUGUAUGAAUCUGAAAGUAAUACAGGAAAUGAUGGCCUCUACUUGUAAGCCAUCGCUGAGGGAUGGGCCUGCGGGGCAUUAGCUAGUUGGUGAGGUAACGGCCCACCAAGGCUUCGAUGUCUAGCCGGUCUGAGAGGACGAUCGGCCACACUGGAACUGAGACACGGUCCAGACUCCUACGGGAGGCAGCAGUAGGGAAUAUUGCGCAAUGGGCGAAAGCCUGACGCAGCGAUACCGCGUGGGUGAGGAAGGUCUUCGGAAUUCGUAAAACCCUGUCACAGUGGAACAAUGGUAGUGGUUCAAAUAGGGCCAUUGCGUGAUGGCACACUGAGAGGAAGCACCGGCCAACUUCGUGCCAGCAGCCGC
rnacentral:rRNA from 1 species